rnacentral:rRNA from 1 species
AUGCAGUCGAGCGGAAGGCCCUUCGGGGUACUCGAGCGGCGAACGGGUGAGUAACACGUGAGCAACCUGCCCCAGGCUUUGGGAUAACCCCGGGAAACCGGGGCUAAUACCGAAUAUGACCUCUGACCGCAUGGUUGGUGGUGGAAAGUUUUUCGGCUUGGGAUGGGCUCGCGGCUUAUCAGCUUGUUGGUGGGGUGAUGGCCUACCAAGGCGACGACGGGUAGCCGGCCUGAGAGGGCGACCGGCCACACUGGGACUGAGACACGGCCCAGACUCCUACGGGAGGCAGCAGUGGGGAAUAUUGCACAAUGGGCGGAAGCCUGAUGCAGCGACGCCGCGUGAGGGAUGACGGCCUUCGGGUUGUAAACCUCUUUCAGCAGGGACGAAGCGUAAGUGACGGUACCUGCAGAAGAAGCGCCGGCCAACUACGUGCCAGCAGCCGCGGUAAGACGUAGGGCGCGAGCGUUGUCCGGAUUUAUUGGGCGUAAAGAGCUCGUAGGCGGCUUGUCGCGUCGACCGUGAAAACUUGGGGCUCAACCCCAAGCCUGCGGUCGAUACGGGCAGGCUAGAGUUCGGUAGGGGAGACUGGAAUUCCUGGUGUAGCGGUGAAAUGC